rnacentral:rRNA from 1 species
UACGUAGGGUGCAAGCGUUAAUCGGAAUUACUGGGCGUAAAGCGUGCGCAGGCGGUUUUGUAAGUCUGAUGUGAAAUCCCCGGGCUCAACCUGGGAAUUGCAUUGGAGACUGCAAGGCUAGAAUCUGGCAGAGGGGGGUAGAAUUCCACGUGUAGCAGUGAAGUGCGUAGAGAUGUGGAGGAACACCGAUGGCGAAGGCAGCCCCCUGGGUCAAGAUUGACGCUCAUGCACGAAAGCGUGGGGAGCAAACAGG